CAGCACCCUCUGCCUCAGCCAACCACUGGUUUGAGGGAUGGGGGCGGAACGGUCCCGGCUGCCCCAGCCAUGCGUCAGCCCCUGUGGGUGCCUCAGCUCUGCCAGGGGACUCAGGCUGCACCUGCCCCCGAGCACCCCCAUCUCUCAGAAACGAAAGCCAGCUCUGGGCCCCGCGAUGUGCCAGGCUCUGCUCUGAGACCCGGUGUGUUGGCUCACUGUACCCUCAGAGGAGGCAGCUGAGGCCCAGAGAGGACCAACAGGCAGUCCAGAAUAACGUCCGUGUUUCCCAGUCUCGCUUACAGCUAGACAUGGUCAGGAGCCUAAUUUCUGGCCAAGAAAGAGAUGUGCACAGUUGCCAGGUCACGCCUUUAAUUGGGAGAGGUGUGUCCCCCGCCUUUUCCCUUCCGGCUGGCUGCAGCAGGGGUGAGAAGCCCGGGACAGCAGCCGCAGCCUCCUAACCGGUCUCCAGUCCAGCGUCCACACAACAGCCGGAGAACUCUUCCCAUGAUGCGGGUGAGAUCAGGGCGCUCCCCUGCCCCAAGCCCUCAGUGACUCUCUGUUGUCUUCAGAACAAAGGGCAGCCUCCUCGAUGAUGGGCAAGGUCUUUUCGUCUCUGGCCCUAAACCGUCUUCCCAGUUUCAUCACUUGCCACUUUUGUCCUCUGCCCUCAUCCCAGAUCAAUCAUCAGGAAAAUCUCAUCCUUCCUUACCUACCUCUUCUUCCCCUGCCUUCCCAGUUCCUCUCCCCACAUCUGGCACUCUCCUACGUAUCCUUCAAGACCCAGCCCAAAGGGCACCUCCUGUGUGAAGCCUUUCCUGACCCUCCUGGCAGAGUGAGCAGCUCCCUCCCUGGUCUGCCGUGGUCGUUGACAGCCCUCUGAGAUAGUGAUAGCCUUUCUGUAUUGUCACAGUCCACAGACACAUUCACCUCUCUAUAAGAGCAGGGACCAAGUCUGGUCAUCUGUUGGUAGUCAGCACCCAGCAUGGGGUCAGGCACCAAGCCAGUGGCAGUCAAGUUCAGUGAGUAAUAAAGGAGAGAGAGGGAAUGUGUGUGUGUCUGUCCCCUGAGCUGGCUGGAGGCCCAGGCCAAGGAGAGAGGGAGGACAUCUAGAAAUAGCCACAUCCCCAGGCCCCAGAUCAGGCCUAGUGCCCAGAUAAACUGACUCUGAGUCAGGGGAUGGUGGCCCAAAAUGGGCGGGCGGAAACUAAGAGGUGUGGCUCAGGCAGCCCAUGGCCCUGCAGCCCUCUGGGGUCUGCUAGCCAAGGCAGAUGGGCCCUGCCUGCCUG
rnacentral:lncRNA from 1 species